GCCAUCUGGAGAAAGAGCUGCACACCAACUUGGAGAUGGUUUCUCAAUUAAAUGCUUCCCUCCAUGAGGUCAAAGAUGAAAAGAGUCGCCUGGAAGAGAAUCUGCACAACAAUAUGGAAAUGACUUCACAAAAGCAGGAGCUCUUGAGAUCAGUUCAGGAGGAGUUGUGUGAACAGAUAGAGAAUAAAUGAUGAGCUAGCUCAGGAGCACAGCUCAUUAAACCAACAGCUUCAGAGUCUUACAGAGAGACUGCAGAGUGUGGAGGCAGACUGCUCCACAGAUGAGAGGGACAAACUUGUGUCCAGACUGAGCUCUCUCACUGAGGACAGAAAGCAGCU